AAUAGCCAAGCAAAUGAAGACAGAGGAAGCUAACAAUCAGCUUCUCUGCAUUCGUGCCACAGCCUCCUUAUUUCAAAACUCUUUGCUAAUUGGAAUGUUCCUUACGGCAGUAUUUGGCAUCUUUCUGUUUCAGUUUUCUGUGGAGAAAAAUUACAUGUUGACUGGAAUAUUUUUAGGCAAUGCCACAAGGCUCAGAACAGGCAAGGACAGAGGCUUGUGCUGGCUGCAGAAUUGAUCAAAUUAUUCAGGAGUCACUGAUGUGCAUCCUGCAAAGACAGUGUAGACCACCCUGCAACGUUUAUCCAUUACUUGCUGAGGAUGGGAGAGGAUUUCCAGGCAAGCAGGUGGGGACGCAUACUGCAGAAGCGGCCACCUCCCAGUGCUCAGAUGGCCUCAGGAAAACUGGGAUUAAUGAUACAUGCUGGAGUGAGUAGAAGCUGACUGCCUCCUGGCAGUUUAGCUUUGAAAUUACUAUCUGUUCUGCCCCAGACACGAGAGAAAUGCUGUUUUCUUUCUUUCUUUCUGAUGUUGUUCUGAUUAACUGAGUAAGUCAAUAUAUUCAGAAAGUUAAAGCAGAUGGUCUUAUAAAGAUGAAAGUGUAAUUAGGGAUGUAAUCCAUCUGCACCUCUGACUGCACAAAGCCUGUAAGAAGCGGUAAAGAGAGAGUUGCAUGCACUCCUUAAUCCUGAUGCUGGUGGUGACUCCUUGACUGUUACUGUGUGACCUUUUAAAGGCUUGUAAUGGAAAGAGGAAGAAAUGUCUCCAGCUUUUCAAAAUCUCGUUUACCAUUUUGGCCUAUGAUAAAUGACCUGCUUUGUUACAGUGACCAUUUGCCCUGUUUAAGUCCCAAGAAAGGCAAAAAGUAAAAGCAUGUCUGCCUGGCAUCAUGUGUGGAAGUAUGCAGCAUUGCCUCCAUUCGCUUCUGGCCUACUGUGCCGAUCCUAAAUUCAAGAAACACAGAAUUAGAGAUGUAUGUAAAAAUGUAUUGGAUGCAGCAUCAAAGCAUUGUCUUGAUCACCGUCAUCCAUUCACAGUCUUGCAGAGUGCAGUAAUGCAUAUUUUCUUGCUUAUUCUUAGAUUUGCAGUUUAACCCAUGAGAAUUACUUUUAUCUCUUGCUGAGAUCUAGGGAGCAGACAAGCUGCACCAGAGCUUUGAUAUAUUAGCUGAUUAGAGCUUCUGGCAGCCCUCAGCACAGAGUUUCUCAGUACCAAGCUCCCCAGAGGAUUUCUGAGGGUGGGAUUACCGUUAAGGCUUUUUUGGUUGUUUUUCCUGAUCACAGUCCUGCUGCUAAUAGUGUGUGUGAAACAAAAGUUCAAAUGUUGGCACAUUCUCCUAUGGGACAGCAACGUUCACAGCGCAUAAUUUUCAUUUCUCUAAUAUGCUACUUGAUGUUUGUUGUUUUUUUUUUUUCUCUGAUCUGUGAUGCAUCCAGAAGAAGCAUAGCCCGUGGUUGUUAGUCUAGUUCUUAGUUUUUCCCAAGUGCAUGUAACUUAAUGU
rnacentral:lncRNA from 7 species